ACACUGAGUCUGUGUACAACUGUUUGGUGAUUUUCCAGCAACAUAGGAAGGUUGUAUGUGACAGUCAGAGAGCCCAGACACCCUCAGCAGAGAACAGCAGAAAGAUCAUUUUAAGACUGUCUAAGGGAAUAAAACCCCUACCUGAUGGGAAUGAAUUAUCCAUGAAGACCACGUCUAUGGACAAGCUACUGGCCUAACUGAUAAAUGAUUGACCUGUCCACACUUUAGUUAGGAGAGCUCGGAGGAAGGAUGUCAUCCAUGGGAUGGAAGGACAAUACCUUAUGAUGUGACUCUUUGACAAAUAAUGAACUAUCAGCUACGUACUCUCCUUGCAUUGUGAUAGCAACAUUUGUAUUUUUGCACUGCGGCAUGCUGCAUGCUCCUUUCCUACUAGAGCUGCAAGGGCUCUGCUUUUAAAUUAUACGGAGACAUGCUAUACUAUAACAAGUCUUUAUGGGAUUUUUACAACAGAAAGUGAUAUGGUUAUAAAAAUCAAGGCUGACAGGGGAAAUAACUUGACAGGGAUCUGUUCCAUCUCUACUGGCCAGUAGGCACUGGUACAGUGUAAACAAGAAAGGCAGGCUUUGUGUACUGUAUUUACAGGCUCCAACAGUUAUUUCUAUACCACAAAGACCAUCUGUUGUUUUGUGAACACAUUUGUUCAGACUAGCACUUGUAAUGGAAAGAUACAUGGUUAGCAAUCAUUUUGUGACACUUGCCUACUGCAGGGUUUUUUGCACCUAUCCCUAAAGCAGCUGUCUAACAGAGACAAAAAAAACUGAAAUAGAGGGACCCCUAGUCUGAUCCAGUAUGGUAGUUCCUUUAUCUCUGUAUCAUAUGAUCCCAUUAGUUAUAAUCUGAGAGACCUACAAGGUUACAGCAAAUCUGUUUACUGCUGCUUAUUAUUAUGUAUUGAUAGUUCUGUUGCUAGUAUCCAAAAGCCCCAGUCAAGAUCAGGGCUCCAUUAUGCUAGCUGCUGUACAAACACUUAGUCAGACAAUGACGCAACCAGCUGGGGAAAGAUGAAAAGAUUUUUCUUGAAUAGCCAUUCAACUUUGAAAAUUAACUUUUGAUUGGACUAUUUCUGCAAUCCUUUUGUGUUUACUUCUAUUAUAAAAUGGCAGUAGUUUUCAUGGUUUUGGUGUUUGCAAAAACAACCUGUCUUUGUAGUUUUCAAGUGUUUAACCAGGGUCAAAAAAUAGAGACACAAAGUGAUGGUACUAGUUUCAAGUUCCAGCUCAAUUUCAAGACUUGGAUGUUUUUUGCUGAAGGUAUCACUGGUUACUUUAUGGCUUCUAGUUUAACGCUAAGACAAAUUACACUUUUCACACUUUACUUAAAACCAUUGUACCAGUCUAUAUGCAGCCUGAAAACAAGGGCUGCACUAGGACAUAUUUGGAGGGCUCUCUUUAUGAACAGAAGGACUAGAAACUCUCUGCAGAAAUAUAGGACUUCUAGACAAGUGUGUCAGGAUAGCAUACCACAGUGAAGUAGAUCAAACUGACCUCUGCUUAUAAGUAAGCUCAAGAGCGAGCUACCGAAUGCUUUGUACAUUGCACAAUAAUGAAUAUUAAUCCUUAAUUACGGAAGCAUUUCAGUGGUCAACCAGAUCAAAGAUAAUUUUAUUAUAAAGUCCUAAUUUUGUACUGCUGUUUUUUUUAAUAACGAGUCUUUGAAGAAUAUUAUACAAAGCAGACUGGAAGGACCUCAUACCCACAGUCAUAAAUAAGUUUUGUGUCCAAACCUUCUGAACAUUUCACUAGAAAGCACAGUGGUAAUUCUACCAGAUGUUAAAGUUUGCUUAAAAAUACAUAGCAACAUUUUGAAAUGCCUUGAGAGGAGAUUUAAUGAGGGAAAUCAGAAAGUGAAGAUUAAACUAAAAAGAGAAAAGGGGAUGCUGAAACAUCUGCCAAAUGGUUUAUUAGUGGUGUGGGGUGAAGUGACGGAGAGAGAGUAAGCUUUGCUUUCAUAAUGUGGUUCCAAGAGGAAACACUUGAUAAGUAACUGCAGUAGGUAAAUGGGGCAAAUGUGGCAAAGUAAGAUAUUUAAGUGAUCACUCUACUGCACAUAUUAAGUAUAAAUGAUGUAUUGUAAUGUGUCAUGUAUUUUUAAUGACUGUCCUCUGGUCAGUCAUAAUAGUUUCGUAACAGAUGUAGCUUAUUUGAAGAACUCUGGAAGAAAAAGAGGAAAGAUUUGUCCUUUGUUUAGAUGAUAAGAAAAUUAGGACCAAGGUUGCUUUACUUAUUUCAGAUUAAGAAGAGAGAUGAUUAAGGGAUGCAAUAAUUUCAAAGUUGUUCCUGAGCCUAUUUCAUUGCAGCAGGGAUAAAUAGAAUAAUGGAUAGAGAUGGCAGAGACUGCAGGAUGAUAAGAAUCUGAAGAUGGUGGCUGAGGGAAAGUACUGGAUUUUAACUGUAUCCUCAGACCAUAGAUGUGCACUCUAUAGGUACAGGCACAAAAGCAGUGUCUGUUCUUAGGAGUGGUUAUGAUUAAGUUAAGCUUAACUAAAGUAGCCAUUCUACUGAUGAAAUGACCAACAUUUGGUACCUCUAUGUUUCUGAUUACAUAUUUGUUUCUUGUCUGAAAUAUCACGGCCUACUAAAAUGACACAAGAAAAAGAAAAGGUUGUAUAAUGGUUUCAAAAGGUUAAAUGCAUAAGAUAACUUUCCACUAAAAAGUCACAAUUUUUGCUCUCUUGUUGAGAAGUUUAGUCCAAAUGUUUUAAUUUUAGCACGCCUAGUAAAUAAUAAACAUAAAUGAUAAACAAAAUGAGAACCUAAGUAAUAAAAUGCUUUUCAACAUUGGAUAAUUCUUUCACAGUGAGGAAAACUUAAAGCCAUAAUUAAGCCAAAUUCAAAUAAGCCAAAUUCACCCUAUUGUCUCUUUCUACAUAGCUACUGAAAUCUUUGGCUCUUGGGCAGAAACUGCAUUUAUUGAUGUAGGAUGUAAAAGGUACUUUCAAGAAGUAGGGUGGAAAGGCUGGGCUCUGCCUGGAUUUUGUUCGGAAAAUAAAAGCUGUUCCCUGAGUUCACUGGUAGUUUUAGUUUUGCUGGGAAGGCAGGAUCAGGCUGAAAAUGAAGUGGCAUCAAAUACACAGUGGCAAAUCUCUCUCUAAUUGGGAAAAUAUUAAGUUCUUAGAAGAAGUAAGAUGAUCCUACCACAAAGGAAUCUUUUUUCAGGGUAGCAGCCGUGUUAAUCUGUAUCCUCAAAAAA